GCCAGAAGAGGUACCACUGGACAUAGAAAGCAAAUGGAGAGACAUGGCAAGGAGAAAGGAUGUCAGUACUGAAGCUACUGCUAAGAGCCAAGAAAGGGGCUGGAAAGAGGACUCAGCUGUCAAGAACACUUGCUUCCUUCCAGACAACUCAGGUUCAACUCCCAGAAUCUUCGUAGGGGCUCACAACUGUGUGAACCUCCAGUCCCAGGGGGGAAUCUGAAACCUCUUCUGGUCUGUGCAAGCACCAGGCACAAAAGUGGUACACAGAUACACACAGAAGCUAAACACCCAUACACAUAAAAUAAAAAUGUAAAAAGGAUGAAUUAAGAGUCCUGUAAACACCACAGGAAGAUGAUGCUCAGAGCCCCCGAGUACCUGACUGUUCUUGCCAUGGAUUCAUGGGACAGAACCAGGUAAUAUCCAGUAUGUAAGAACUUGAGCAUAGUAGAUACUCAGAAUGUGAGUUUGUCGUUGAUUUGUCAUUGAUUUAAAAACAAAUAGAAACAGGACAAUGUGUGAGCGUAAACACCUACGUGACAGGCAAGUCGGACAUUGAUUGUUGGUACAACCAUGUGCAAGAGUCGCUUGGCUACUUUCACUUCCUAUAAACUGUGUUAUUAUAAGAAAACUUUAAUGGGAAAGAGAACCUGAGAUUUCCCACCAUGUAUAGCCCAUCAUCCAUGAAGCAUUUAUGGAAGUCUAGAUUCUGCUAGCCAGCACAAGUUUCUCUAUUCUACACCACUUUAUAUCUUGGAAAUUUUGGCGAUCUCCUUAAAAUCAGAUCUCCAUGCUUAAAAUCAGCCAUGCUGAGAGGUGAGGAGGGGCUUUGUAAAGAGAUAAUUAGGACAUGAGUAUUCUGUCCUCCUUCACAGAUUAAUUUGUUAUCACGAGACAAGGUUAAAAUUAAAAUCAGAUCUUAGUCCUUAGGUAUUGAAUUUUUCAGUCCCUAGGACUGUAAAAAACCCCCCACAAAAUUUCUUUAUAAAUAACUCAGACCUUAACAACACAGAAAAGAUCAAGAUGCUGUGACAAUGUUUAAUGUUAACAUGACUAGAUUUGGAAUCACGGAGGAGACAUACUUCUGGUAUAUCCUCGAGGAUGCUUCCAGACAGAUUCCACAAAAACAAGUCUUCACAUCCCUUUUACCCAGGAUCUACUUUCCAUCCCUGCAAAACAGUGCCUAGAGAUGUAGCCCAGCUGGUGGAGUGCUUGUCUCUUGUGUUCGAAUCCCUGUGUUUGAUAGCCAGCACUACAUAAACUGGGUGUGGUGGUGUACACCAAUAAUCCCAGCACCUAGGAGGUAGAGGCAAGAGGAUCAGAAUGUCAAGAUCAAGACAUAGAGCACACUAAAUCAGUGGAUCAACCAAAAACCAAUUGUAACAGGGGCCCAGACCUUAGUGCAACUGACUCCAUGAUGCAAACGCCAUACUGUGAAACUCAGCUUCUCCAGUUUAUUGUCCUAGCCAACUCUUCCUUUCAUUUUGUCUGCCCUAUGUCUGUAUUUUCCCAUACUGGACAGGAUGAGAAGUUGACUUUCGAGCCUGGACUCCCACUUCUCCACUCACUGCCCAGUGAACAGAUUUGUGCUAUUAGUGCUCAGCCUCAGUUUCCCCUUUCAUUUUACAACACCAAGUAUGUCUCUUGGGAGGGCCUUCUCUCUGGGACCAACAGAUGGCAGAUAAAACCUCUCACCCCUUGCUCUAUGCAUCUUGUUUACCUGACUGCCCCUGAUCUGUUUCAUUUUAAAUAACCUGGUAAU
rnacentral:lncRNA from 1 species